CAAAGCAUUUUUUCAAUGUCUCACAUGCACGCACGCACACACGCGCACACACGUGCAUACACACAAGCGCGCGCACACACGCACACACGCACACACACACAGCCCUUGCUGGCAUCACACCGACCCACGCGCUCACCAUCCCUUCAGUGCCAAGGCCACGGGGAAGGCAGCCCGCCCGCCCUCUCCGGGGCCUUCGGCUCAGGAAGUAGACAGACCACGGGGGGCCUGGGGGACCUGGGGAGCCGCCGACACCCUGCAGUCGGGGUGUGGGAGCAGGAGGCGCCCAGCCACGCCGCCCACUCGUGUGCAGACACCACCCCAAGACCCCUCCUCUCGCAGGUGUCUGCCCGUCAACGUCCGUACCGCCCUGGCCGCUCUCACCACCUCGACGAACAGCGUUUGGAACCCGGGAACUGGCUCUGACUCCACUUCCCCAGCAGAACCGGAGCCGAGCCCCCCUUGACGGCCAAGCCACGUGGCUGUCCUGAGCCCCCGACGGCCAAGCCACGGAGGCGGGAACACACGGCCCGUCUCUCUCCACGGCCCGUCUCUCAGGCGCGUGCGGCCACACGCGGGGCUCCGUGUCUGCGUGGACUCACCGGCCCUGGAACGUGGUGGCGCUCUGACGACAGCAGACGCACGCACGCUUUCCUGGGAGGUUUCUCUUUAUCCCUUUUCCAAGGCUCGUAAAGUGAUCUGAACUCCU